AGGCUGUUCGCUCGCCCAUGCACUGUUUGCACAGAACUCACUGGUGAAUUUAGGGAAGGUGCUGUUCUGCAUAGCAGUGAAGCAUAUCCUAAAGUCUCACUGAAAUAUAGGAGAAGACAGGAUUACAAGUCCUUCCCAAGGAGCCGGAACAGAACCCAUUAAGUUUAUCACCACUGAAGGCAAGUAAUAGGGGAAUAAUAUCUAGUUCACAAGAGAAGAUUGGAUUAAGCUUUCCAGAACAUCUUACGAGAGUUAUUUCCAUAUCACUUUGCUCUAGAGUUUUGGAAUGAAUAGCCCUAAAUAGAAGAUAGAUGCAAACAAAGAGCUCUGUUGCCUGGGCUGCUGGUGAGUGCCUGAGGAUCCCUGAUGUGCUGAAAGCAUGGUCUG